rnacentral:rRNA from 1 species
UGGGUCACCUCCCCACCCGUGUUUAUUUACCUUGUUGCUUCGGCGAGCCUGCCUUUUGGCUGCCGGGGGACGUCAGUCCCCCGGGUCCGUGCUCGCCGGAGACACCUUAGAACUCUGUCUGAAGAUUGUAGUCUGAGAUUAAAUAUAAAUUAUUUAAAACUUUCAACAACGGAUCUCUUGGUUCCGGCAUCGAUGAAGAACGCAGCGAAAUGCGAUACGUAAAUGUGAAUUGCAGAAUUCAGUGAAUCAUCGAGUCUUUGAACGCACAUUGCGCCCUCUGGUAUUCCGGAGGGCAUGCCUGUCCGAGCGUCAUUGCUGCCCUCAAGCACGGCUUGUGUGUUGGGCCCCGUCCUCCUUCCGGGGGACGGGUCCGAAAGGCAGCGGCGGCACCGCGUCCGGUCCUCAAGCGUAUGGGGCUUUGUCACUCGCUUUGUAGGCCUGGCCGGCGCUUGCCGAUCAACCAAACUUUUUAUCAGGUUGACCUCGGAUCAGGUAGGGAUACCCGCUGAACUUAAGCAUAUCAAUAAGCGGAGGAAAAGAAACCAACAGGGAUUACCUCAGUAACGGCGAGUGAAGCGGUAAGAGCUCAAAUUUGAAAGCUGGCUCCUUCGGGGUCCGCAUUGUAAUUUGCAGAGGAUGCUUCGGGAGCGGUCCCCAUCUAAGUGCCCUGGAACGGGACGUCAUAGAGGGUGAGAAUCCCG